CCUACGGGAGACAGCAGUAGGGAAUUUUCGUCAAUGGGCGCAAGCCUGAACGAGCGAUGCCGCGUGAGUGAAGAAGGCCUUCGGGUCGUAAAGCUCUGUUGCGGGGGAAAAAAGGCAGCAUCAGGAAAUGGGUGCUGACUGAUGGUGCCCCGCCAGAAAGUCACGGCUAACUACGUGCCAGCAGCCGCGGUAAUACGUAGGGGGCGAGCGUUAUCCGGAAUGAUUGGGCGUAAAGGGUGCGCAGGCGGUCCUGCAAGUCUGGAGUGAAACGCAUGGGCUCAACCGAUGCAUGGCUUUGGAAACUGGAGGACUGGAGAGCAGGAGAGGGCGGUGGAACUCCAUGUGUAGCGGUAAAAUGCGUAGAUAUAUGGAAGAACACCAGUGGCGAAGGCGGCCGCCUGGACUGCAACUGACACUGAGGCUCGAAAGUGUGGGUAUCAAACAGGAUUAGAUACCCGUGUAGUC
rnacentral:rRNA from 1 species